rnacentral:lncRNA from 1 species
AAUGCAUCUUGCAUGUCAUUAUCAUUAAACAGGUUAUGGUACUCAGAAGACCAAGGGAGCAUCACUUUGUACUCUCUUGUAGAUGCAUACCUGAUAGAUGUAUCCCAACAUAUGUCAAUGAUGUCUGCCCACAACUUAGUUAGGGUGUACUUAUCAGGUAGAACACUACUAAUCUCAAUUACUGAGCCAUCAACUACAGCUUCAACAUCAAAGAAAACACAACUGCAAGUGGUCAUCAACAUAUGCAUUAGAGGCAAUGAUAGCAGAUAGGUUAAAAUUUCAUUGUUUGACAACAAAAACAGUGAUAGGUAAAAAUUCCAGAUAGGUGGAAAUAUUUGGUAUUCAAGUUAUACAUCAUUGGAAAGAAAUAUUUGGUAUUCAAAUUCUUACAUUAAUCAAGUGAGCAGAAUUUCUGUGCAGAAGGGGCAUCUUUGGGAAUUAAACUGUACUGCAUGAGAUCGAAUUAAUUUUCGAGCCAUACAUCAUUGGAAAGAUAUUUCUGUUAGCUUUUCAAUGAAUUUUACUAAUCUAAAUUUGGAGCUAUCUACAGUAAGUUAUGAUCAGUUAAGUGUAGACUGUUCAGUUUUAAAUAGAAUUUCUUACAUUAAUCAAGUGUCCGGUGUCAAAUAGCUUGGCUCUUAUUAUUCCUUCCACUAAUAUUAAACCAAAAACCAAUUCUCUUAUGAGCUGUAACUCUAAGGCUUAACUAUUGUAAGUCCACGACCAUAUGCAGCAAAUGUUAUAUAUAGAUCAAACAAAUUUUGUCUUGUUUUACUGCCAUUACAGAGCCAAAAUUUUCUAAUUUCAAUUCUGGUUUUACCUAAGCCAUGUAUAUAAAUCACAAUAUCUUUUUGAGUUAUCUACAAAUAAAAAGUAGAUAAGAGUGUGCUUUCAAACAACUCACCUCUGAUUUGCUUCGACAUAGAUGUUCGUGCUUGUGGGUCGCCGGCGAAACUCACUACGAUACAUCGUGGACUAGUGGUUCGUGCUUGUGGUUUAUGCUGCUGCUCGUUGCCACUGUAAGCUGCUGCUCAUCAAUUCAGUAAUCCUCUGUGAUGAUCAAAAAUCGUCUUUGUAUCUAGGGUUUUAUAUGAUGAUGGUGGUGGUUGUUUUUGCUUUCGUUUUUGUUUUUAGUUUUCAAGAUUAUUAAAAAAAUGAUAGCAAAGAGAUGCAUUGUUUGAAACGAAACCAAAUUUCUUUUUGCAAGUUUGGUUUUUAUUUGUGUCAGAACAUCAGUAAUUGAAAUGACUAGUUAUUGUUCUCGAGGCAACGAAAGUUGCAAAAGGUUUGUUUUAUUGCGAAAUGUCGACAAUGCCCACAACUACCAAAACGGCAAUUAAACGGAGUAAAAACGUAAGGAGUUGUUUACAAAUAAAUAGAUUCUUACCAUCUACUUGCAACAAGUACAAACUUCAAGGGAGGUUUUUAAAAAUUACCCUAUUGAAUAUUGAUGCAGGACAUGUUAUUUUUAAGGGCGAUUACUAUUGAGCACCUAUUUU